rnacentral:rRNA from 1 species
UAGGGAAUAUUGGACAAUGGGCGAAAGCCUGAUCCAGCCAUGCCGCGUGAGUGACGAAGGUCUUCGGAUUGUAAAGCUCUUUUCUGAGGGAAGAACAACCGGGUGAGGAAAUGCUCCCGGCUUGACGGUACCUCAGGAAUAAGGGACGGCUAACUCCGUGCCAGCAGCCGCGGUAAUACGGAGGUCCCAAGCGUUGUUCGGAAUUACUGGGCGUAAAGGGAGCGCAGGCGGACAGGUUAGUCUAAAGUGG